CAAGUCUGGUGCCAGCAGCCGCGGUAAUUCCAGCUCCAAUAGCGUAUAUUAAAGUUGUUGCAGUUAAAAAGCUCGUAGUUGGAUUUCUGUUAAUAAUUUAUAUAUAAUAUUUAACAUAUUUAUAUAAUAUUAACAUAAUUCAUAUUACUAUUUUGAUAGUAUAUGAAACUUUACUUUGAGAAAAUUAGAGUGCUUAAAGCAGGCUUUAGCCUUGAAUACUAGAGCAUGGAAUAAUAUUAAAGAUUUUUAUCUUUCUUAUUGGUUCUAAGAUAGAAAUAAUGAUUAAUAGGGACAGUUGGGGGCAUUUGUAUUUAACAGUUAGAGGUGAAAUUCUUAGAUUUGUUAAAGACAAACUAAUGCGAAAGCAUUUGCCAAGGAUGUUUUCAUUAAUCAAGAACGAAAGUUAGGGGAUCGAAGACGAUCAGAUACCGUCGUAGUCUUAACCAUAAACUAUGCCAACUAGAGAUUGGAGGUUGUUCCUUACUC
rnacentral:rRNA from 1 species